UGGGGAAUUUUGGACAAUGGGGGAAACCCUGAUCCAGCCAUGCCGCGUGUGUGAAGAAGGCCUUCGGGUUGUAAAGCACUUUUGUUCGGAACGAAACGGCGAGGGCUAAUAACGCUCGCUAAUGACGGUACCGGAAGAAUAAGCACCGGCUAACUACGUGCCAGCAGCCGCGGUAAUACGUAGGGUGCAAGCGUUAAUCGGAAUUACUGGGCGUAAAGCGUGCGCAGGCGGUUUUGUAAGUCAGAUGUGAAAUCCCCGGGCUCAACCUGGGAACUGCAUUUGAAACUGCAAGGCUAGAGUGUGUCAGAGGGGGGUAGAAUUCCACGUGUAGCAGUGAAAUGCGUAGAGAUGUGGAGGAAUACCGAUGGCGAAGGCAGCCCCCUGGGAUAACACUGACGCUCAUGCACGAAAGCGUGGGGAGCAAACAGG
rnacentral:rRNA from 1 species